CAAUAGCGUAUAUUAAAGUUGUUGCGGUUAAAAAGCUCGUAGUUGGAUUUCUGCCGAGGACGACCGGUCCGCCCUCUGGGUGUGUAUCUGGUUUGGCCUGGGCAUCUUCUUGGAGAACGUAGCUGCACUUGACUGUGUGGUGCGGUGUCCAGGACUUUUACUUUGAGGAAAUUAGAGUGUUUCAAGCAGGCACACGCCUUGAAUACAUUAGCAUGGAAUAAUAAGAUAGGACCUCGGUUCUAUUUUGUUGGUUUCUAGAGCUGAGGUAAUGAUUAAUAGGGAUAAUUGGGGGCAUUCGUAUUCAACUGUCAGAGGUGAAAUUCUUGGAUUUGUUGAAGACGAUCUACUGCGAAAGCAUUUGCCAGGGAUGUUUUCAUUGA
rnacentral:rRNA from 1 species